AGGUGGGUGCCUGUGCCCAAGUCAUCUGUGUGUACACCUCGGACGUCGGCCUUUCCCUCAGCGCACGCUUCACCUCACUGUUUGAACGGAAUUGGAAACAAAAGGCAAAGCUGGGAAGGAACGCAGGGCUCCCGAGAGCGGCCGAAAGCACGCAGCGGGGCGGCACCACUGCCUGAGGAUACGGGGCGAGGGCACUGCAGCUGAUUGAAACGCAAGGAGAAACGUUCUUGAAACUGUACACCAAGCGUGCCAAACUCACGGCCCGGGCUGCAUGCGGCCCACAACAAAUAUUUUUGUGGCCCAGCCAAUAUAACGAAACUAUGGACCACAUGGUUGAAAAUGAAAACAGUGGUCAUUCACCACCGAGCUGCGAACAGCACCGCCUGGACCACGACCCGACCAGACUUUCCUCUGGGACGAAGCCGUUGCUCGAAGUCUGACAGCCCUUCAGCUCAGGCAUCUGAGGACAUUCUUUAGUUCGAAUCUUUGUUCCUAAGAACAGGCCAAACUACUCAUUUGAGAAAAUUCUGGAAUUAUUAUUGUGCAUAAUAUUAAGCUUUUAUAAAUAUAAGGAAGAAUUUUGAAGAAUUUUUUCAAACAUAGGGAAAAAUUAAACAUCAAGGAAAGUAAGUCAAUUUUUAAAUCCACCUUGUGAAACAUGGCACAAAUCUUUAUGAGGUACUAAUAGAUUGAUAUAUAUUGAUACAGAGUGAGGCCCAAGAUGUGUUAGGUGAAAAAAAAGUUGUAAAACUGUACUUGGAAUAUGAUGCUGUAUUUUAAACAAAAAAACUAUGUGCAUGAAAAAAAAUCUGAAUUAAAAUACAAUAAAUAAUUGUUAUAUCUGGUAAUGUUCGGCUUAUAGGGCACAAUUAUGUUUUUGUUUUAUAUCUGCUUUGUGUGUGCAUUUAACAUUUUUACCAUGAGUACAUUUCGUAAUAGAAAAGGAAAUUUCAUG